rnacentral:rRNA from 1 species
GACGAACGCUGGCGGCGUGCCUAAUACAUGCAAGUUGAGCGCUGAAGGUUGGUACUUGUACCGACUGGAUGAGCAGCGAACGGGUGAGUAACGCGUGGGGAAUCUGCCUUUGAGCGGGGGACAACAUUUGGAAACGAAUGCUAAUACCGCAUAAAAACUUUAAACACAAGUUUUAAGUUUGAAAGAUGCAAUUGCAUCACUCAAAGAUGAUCCCGCGUUGUAUUAGCUAGUUGGUGAGGUAAAGGCUCACCAAGGCGAUGAUACAUAGCCGACCUGAGAGGGUGAUCGGCCACAUUGGGACUGAGACACGGCCCAAACUCCUACGGGGGGCAGCAGUAGGGAAUCUUCGGCAAAGGACGAAAGUCUGACCGAGCAACGCCGCGUGAGUGAAGAAGGUUUUCGGAUCGUAAAACUCUGUUGGUAGAGAAGAACGUUGGUGAGAGUGGAAAGCUCAUCAAGUGACGGUAAUUACCCAGAAAGGGACGGCUACCUACGU